CUCGUCGGAGAGGAAAUGCUCUCGCCUCGUGCUGGCUGCGGGUCCUUGGCCCGCGGGGCGACACGAGGUGGCCCUGGCCGCGGUGAUGGCGAAACUCUGCCGGGGUGGGGAGGCCGGAAGCGCUGAGACCCCAGCUCGGGCCCGCGGGACCCCAGGGCCGGACGCCCCUCCGUUAGAAUCUGUUCCAGGAGCCACUGGGGCGUGGACGGGAGGAGAGCGAGGGAGGAAAUGAGAUCUUGAUUGGGUGGAGGCACGCGUCGAUUCCUUCCCGACCUCUGAUGAGUGUUUUCAAAGUGGCCUCAAUUCGGGUGACCCAGGUCACUUGACCAGAAGAUCUGUGUGCUGGGUGAAGGCUGACUUCCUUUCUGCUGGUUGUGUGGUUGGUAUGUCAUUGCUGUGGCUUAGGCACUUCCAGGUCUGCUGGUUUAAUUCUUACCCAUGUGCUCUUUGAGUGCUGGCCUGCUGAAGUCUGUUCUGUGUGGAUGUAAAUAAAUGUGAAGUGACCCCGAGGAGUCUCUUGUGUUCUUUAU